GGGGGUGUAUGUCAGUGGCAGACUUUCUCUCUCCAAAAGAGAAGACCUGGGUUCGAUUCCUAGCACCCCCG
rnacentral:tRNA from 1 species